ensembl:lncRNA
CCUAUGGACAGCAGAGCCUGGCAGGCUACAGUCCAUGGGGUCGCAAAAGAGGCAGACACGACUUAGUGACUCAACAAAGUGUAUAAAAUAGAAAACUCAUACAAAAGCUUAAAAAGUUAACAUAAACUGAGGACAACCAAGAGAGCAUGGACUUUUAAUGACAGUGGAGGCUCCAAGGACACAGUCAUCUAAUUAGGUCCCAGCAGUCCCAGCCCAGGACCCAAGGAGGAGGAAGUAGCAUUCACCGAGCUCUAUUAUAUGCAAGGAGCUCUGCAGAUGCUAUCACCAGGCGUCAGCUCUGCAAGGCCCUGAAACUCCUCUUUUAUAUUCAGACGCUGUUACCUGUACUCCCGCCAGCGAAGCACUGUCCCCAUUGUUCUGCGGCUUUGAAUCGGGGCGACAGGAGGACAAGCCCUGCGCCGCCCUACUUUCUGCUUCCGGUAGGUCUCAUCUGUUACAACUGGUUGCUCUUCUAUAUAAACAUAAGCUUGUCAUGUUCCAUGAGAAAUUAUGGAAAUUGCUUUACAUCUAAAGAUCAGACUGGGGAGAACUGAAAUCUUGGAAAUGUAUAGUGUUUCUCUCCAUGAGGAUGAUAUCCCUUUCAUAUCAGUUCAGUUCAGUCGCUCAGUCAUGUCCAGCUCUUUGGAACCCGAGGGCUGCAGCAUGCCAGGCCUCCCUGUCCAUCACCAACUCCUG